UACAGAGGGUGCGAGCGUUGUUCGGAAUUACUGGGCGUAAAGGGCGCGUAGGCGGCGUGACAAGUCACUUGUGAAAUCUCCGGGCUUAACUCGGAACGGUCAAGUGAUACUGUCGUGCUAGAGUACAGAAGGGGCAACUGGAAUUCUCGGUGUAGCGGUGAAAUGCGUAGAUAUCGAGAGGAACACCUGCGGCGAAGGCGGGUUGCUGGGCUGAUACUGACGCUGAGGCGCGAAAGCCAGGGGAGCGAACGGG
rnacentral:rRNA from 1 species